rnacentral:rRNA from 1 species
UACGGAGGGUGCAAGCGUUAAUCGGAAUUACUGGGCGUAAAGGGUGCGUAGGCGGGUCUUUAAGUCAGGGGUGAAGUCCUGGAGCUCAACUCCAGAACUGCCUUUGAUACUGAGGAUCUUGAGUUCGGGAGAGGUGAGUGGAACUGCGAGUGUAGAGGUGAAAUUCGUAGAUAUUCGCAAGAACACCAGUGGCGAAGGCGGCUCACUGGCCCGAUACUGACGCUGAGGCACGAAAGCGUGGGGAGCAAACAGG